CGCAGUGACAGGUGGUGCAUGGCUGUCGUCAGCUCGUGUCGUGAGAUGUUGGGUUAAGUCCGCAAACGAGCGCAACCCACGUCUUUAGUUGCCAGCAUUUAGUUGGGCACUCUAGAGAGACCGCCGGUGAUAAACCGGAGGAAGGUGUGGAUGACGUCAAGUCAUCAUGCCCCUUACAUCCUGGGCUACACACGUACUACAAUGCUACGGACAAAGGGCAGCAAGUUCGCGAGGACAAGCAAAUCCCAUAAACCGUAGCUCAGUUCAGAUCGUAGGCUGCAACUCGCCUACGUGAAGGAGGAAUCGCUAGUAAUCGCAGGUCAGCAUACUGCGGUGAAUACGUUCCCGGGCCUUGUACACACCGCCCGUCACACCAUGGAAGUUGGCCACGCCCGAAGCCGUUACUCCAACCCUUGUGGAGGAGGACGUCGAAGGUGGGGCUGAUGACUGGGGUG
rnacentral:rRNA from 1 species